CUCCAGCAGAGUAAUAUUAUACCAUUCUCACCAUAUAAACGCAUCUGAACUCUGCCCUUCCCCCUAACCUGCCAGCUUACCGGCCAUACUGCUGGACAGGGGAGGUUAAGGUUGGAUAUGAAGAGGAAGUUUUUCCCCCAGAGGGUGGUGACGCACUGAACAGGUUGCCCAAGGAGGCUGUGGAUGCCCCAUCCCUGCAGGCAUUCAAGGCCAGGCUGGAUGUGGCUCUGGGCAGCCUGGGCUGCUGGUUGGCGACCCUGCACAUAGCAGGGGGUUGGAACUGGAUGAGCAUUGUGGGCCUUUGCAACCCAGGCCAUUCUAGGAUCCUAGGAUUCUGUGAUCAAAGAAGGCUCUGGGGAGACCUGGGAGCGGCCUCUCAGUAUCUAAAGAGGGGCUGUAAGAAAGAGGGGAUAGGAUUUUUAGCGGGGUUUGUGGUGACAGGACAAGGGGAAAUGGUUUCAAACUGUAAGAGGGGAGAGUUAGAUUGAAGAUAAGGAAGAAGUUUCUUACAACAAGGGCAGUUUGCCCGGAGAGGCGGUGCUGCCCCAUCCCUGCAGACAGCCGAGGUCAGGGGAUGGGCUCUGAGCACUGAUGGGGCUGUGGGGGUCUCUGUGCAUUGGGGGAGUGGGACCAGAGGGCCUUGGAGGGCCCCUUCCAACUCAAACCAUUCUGUGAUUCUAUGAUUCUGACAUUAAUUUGAUUCCAAUUAAAUAACAUAAAAGCCUGGAAGACAGCUUGUAGAACAAUCCCUCCAGUCUUUACAAUAAGCUGUACAGAGCCAUAUGAGCAAGAAAGAUUCCUCAGUGCAAUGGGAACUUUGUUUUCUUGGUGUAAUGCUGCAGUAUUAACUCUGCAGGAGGAGAUGCUGAGCCCCGGGCACAGGCUGAGCAGAAACCUCAGCACAGCCCAGGGGAGCAGACAGCCCACAGUGCUCUGCAGGAGGAAUAGAAAGACUCCAGUAUUUGUAUUGAAAUAAAAACAUAGCCAGAUAUCUUCUUAUGGCUUGAGACCAUC
rnacentral:lncRNA from 1 species